AGCGUCCAUGGAUAAGCCACUAGUUACCGCCGCCGCUCCUCUAGUUAACGGAGGACCUCCCUAGAGCGAAGGAUACCCCUCGCCACUCAAUUAUACGAAAGAAAAAGGAACAAUAAUUCUAGUCAGAGUUAUAGACUUGAGGGAAAAAGACUAUAUAUCUGGAGUGGGCGUGUGGUGGGCUGUGUCUCCUCUGUGGGCGUGUGAGGGCUCUGUGGGCGUGUGGGGGCUAUGUAACGUCUGUGGGUGUGUGUCCCUCUUAUGAACUAGUGAUCCUUGGUCCGUUGUGGGUGUAUCCUGUGUCCUUCGUGGGCGUGUGUGUUUCCCUUGGCGUGGGCGUGAAUACCAGUUAUAGAGAAGAAACAGACGACGGAGGGGUAAAGGGCCUUCUCAGCUACGGGCGCCAUCAUGGAGUACAACAUUAUGGAUCUACUGGAGGGAAAGCCGUCUCAGCGGUACUCAAGCAUCAUCAUGCACAACUGGGGGUCGUGUGGCAGCAUCACCCUUAACCAUGGGCUGGACGCCGCCUCUCCCAGACUCCACCCCGCACCACAACCCAGCCCUCUAGUCGUGCCCAACAACACCUCCUCCUCCACCACCACUAAAAACAAGUCGAGGAAGAAGCCUGAGGAUGUCCUGUACCCGGAGGAGACAUAUCGCCUGCGGGAGGAAGACGCCCCGGACCUUGACCACAUCAGAGUUGAGCACAAGGAACCAAGAUGCUGCAACACAAAGUACAGCCAGGCCAUGAAGCACCUCCUCCCCUUCCGUCCCCCAUGCAAAGACAAAAGCCUAUUACCAAGUAACAAUGCUGGGCUGUUUAGUUACUUUAGUGUGAGUUGGUUAACGAGGCUUAUGUGGAGUGCUUAUAAGAAAGGCCUACAACCCGGCGACUUGUGGUCCCUUCAGCUUGAAGAUGGGGCAGAAAUUAAUUCAGAGCGUCUUGAGCGAUUAUGGGAGGAUGAGAUCGGGAUGGCAGAAAAGACCAAAAGAAAACCAGAGUUAUGGCGAACUGUGUGGAGGUUCAUGAAGACCCGAGUCAUUGUCAGCAUGGUCAUUUCCAUCAUACAGAAUGUUCUCCAGUUUCUAGGACCAUCGAUAAUGCUGAAGGUCGUGUUAGAUUACAUAAACGAGCCCAUGGUGGAUAAUAUGUAUGCCUCGUUAAUUGUCCUUGCUAUUGGUGUCAUCAACAUUUGUAGAGGCUCAACGUUCAAUGCCAUGUUUGUCGUAGGAACACACACAGCGACCAGAGUAACAGGCGCUGUACAAGCUAUGAUGUACAAGAAAGUUCUCAAAUUAAAAACAGGAGGUGAACGACUCUCAGCGCAGAUCAUCAACUUCAGCAACAAUGAUAUGGAGAGACUUUUUGAAGCCUGUAUCUCUUGUGCUUUCAUCACCGCCAUGCCUGUGAUGUUCACCAUGAGUGUCAUCUACUGUGUGUACAUCCUGGGUCCUUGGUCACUCUUAGGCCAGGGAUGCUACAUCCUCUUCUACCCAAUUAUGGGAGGCAUCGCCAAAGCACAGAGUAGCGUCCGAGUGGAGACAGUGAAAGUUACUGACAAGCGGGUAACCCUCAUGAGUGAAGUCCUCAAUAGUAUGCGACUCAUUAAGAUGUACUCCUGGGAAGAUUCCUUCGCCCAAAAAAUAGCAGCGAUCAGAAAGGAGGAGCUUAAGAAACAUCGUAUUGGGGCGCUGCUUCAGGCUGUCAGUUCUACAGUGAUCCCCAGCAUCAGUAUCCUAGCUGCCAUUGUCACCUUCUUGGGAUAUACUCUCUCGGGUAACACACUGAAGUCUGCCGAGGCUUUCACCAUAUUUUCAGUCUUCAAUGCCAUGCAGUUCACGGUCGGCGUUCUUCCAUUCACUGUGCGUUCAGUUGCAGAAGCUAAAAUAUCUCUGGAUAGGAUUCAGAAACUACUGGAGCUGCCGGAACAUCAGAAGCGUGCAGGAGGUUUACUCAACAAUAAUUUGGCGCUGCAGAUGAAAAAUGCUACUUUUUCUUGGGAAAUUUACAAUAUUGAUUUCAAAGGACAAGGAAAAUCUGGCGGAAGUCCAUCUAAAGAUAUGAAGGAAAAAAAGAAGCCCGAUGUGAAGAAGAAUGGUGCAGUCAAUGGAACAGGACUUCAUACUAAUGGCCUUGUCACCAGCGGCCAUGUUAAUGGUACUACAAACAGCCCAGCAAAGGAACGCAACACAGAUCUGGUAAAGAGUGUGGAAACCCUCUUCAACAUCAACCUCUCUGUUGAACGUGGCAAGCUUAUUGGUGUCUGUGGCAGCAUAGGUUCUGGGAAGAGUUCUCUUAUAUCUGCAAUCUGUGGUGAUAUGAAAACACAAGGUGGGAGUGUGCAAGUGAAUGGACAGCUGGCCUUGGUGACCCAGCAGGCCUGGAUCUACAACGACACUUUCCUUGAGAAUAUCCUGGUGGGCCAGAUGUUUGAUCCAGAGAAAUACAAGAAGACCCUCUAUGUUUGCUCUCUAGAAUCUGAUAUAGAACUCCUGGCUAAUGGAGAAAUGACCGAGAUUGGAGAGAGGGGCAUUAAUCUCAGCGGCGGCCAGAAACAGAGAGUUAAUUUGGGCCGUGCAGUUUACAGUGACCGGGACAUUUACUUGAUGGAUGAUCCACUCAGUGCUGUGGACACAAAAGUUGCAAAGCACAUCUUCAACUACUGCAUAAAAGAAGCACUUGCUGAUAAGACAAUUAUCUUUGUUACUCACGCUCCUCAUUUCUUAGAGAAGUGUGAUGAGAUUAUCCUUAUGCAAGAAGGAAAGAUUGCAGAACGUGGAACUCAUGCUGAACUCAUAGCUCGGAAGGGGGAAUACUUUGAUAUGAUUGGCUUUGACUCUACUCCUGAUAGAGACAAAGCUGAGGAGAAGUUGGAAGCGAAUGAAGAACAAGAAUCUGAUAAGAAAGCUGAUAAUGCCAAGAAAAAAAAAAAAGACAAUGACAACAAAGAGAACACAGUGGGAAAUGGCAAACUGAUCACAGAGGAGACCAGAGGAACGGGGACUGUCAGUAACAAAGUUUACCUGACUUUUAUCAAGGUCAGUGGAGGAUGGUGCAUAACAAAUAUAAUCAUCUUUGCCAUCAUUGUCUUUACUUUAACGAGAAUGUUCAAUGCAGUCUGGCUACAAUAUUGGCUUGAUCAGGGUGACGGCCUGGAAGAAGAACGAAGGAUGAACUUAACAGAAUACAACAUCACUUUAUCAGAUGAAGAGUUAAAGGGUGACAUAACACAAAAUCCAAUGUUGUGGAUGUACCAGUUAGUGUAUGCCCUCAGUUUUGUGCUGCUCCUCAUCACUGGUCUUAUCAAAGGCAUCGGAGUGACCUUCAGAGUCUUGGCUGGUGCUUCAAAACUGCAUCAUGCCAUGUUUACCAGCAUCCUCCGGUCACCGAUGAGUUUCUUUGACACAACCCCAACUGGACGGAUACUGAACAGAUUCUCCAGAGAUCUUGAUGAGCUUGAUGUGCGUGUGCCAUUCUUCCUGGAGUUCUUGUUGCAAGGUAUUCUCUUUGUGGUGGGGCAGAUUAUCCUGGUGUGCUUCAUCUACAUUUGGUUUGUCAUACCACUUCUGUUAGUUGCAGUUUUGUUCUUCAUAGUUGACGUUUUCCUAAACGCUGGUAUUCGUGAGAUGAAACGUUUGGAUAACACCUUGAAGUCACCCGUCACUCAGCACAUAGGUUCAUCUGUGUCUGGUCUUAAUGUCAUCCGGACCUUUGAUAAGGAGAAGUUAUUUAUCAAAAGGAUGUACAACUAUCUGGACAAGCACUCAGCCGCGCUGCUGAUAUUUCGCCUCUCAAAUCGUUGGUUCACUUACCGAAUGGAUUUUAUGGCCGUCUGUGUCACUCUUGCCGUCACCAUCAUCUGCGUCUUCACCAAAGGCCACGUCAGUACUGCUCUUGCAGGUCUCGCUUUGGCAACUGUUAACGGUGUGUGUGUGUUUGUUCCCUUCCUCAUGAGGAUGAAGUCCGAGUUUCAGUCUCGCAUCACUUCAGUUGAGCGGAUCAUAGAAUAUGCCUAUGAGCUGCCCAGUGAAGCCCCUCAGGAAAUCCCAUCAACUGAGCCAUCUCCUAGCUGGCCAGCCAAAGGUGUUAUUGAAGUUAAAGACGUAAAGCUUCGUUACAGACCAGAACUGCCUCUGGUGCUUCACGGUAUUAGUGCUUCGAUCAAGGACGGGGAGAAGAUUGGUAUUAUUGGACGAACUGGAGCAGGCAAGUCUUCCCUCAUCUCUACACUACUACGCAUGGCUGAGUUGGAUUCUGGUAGCAUCAUUAUUGACGGUGUUGACAUCAGCACCAUUGGUCUACAUACGUUACGAAGCAGAAUUUCCGUCAUCCCUCAGGACCCAGUUCUCUUCCAGGGUUCAGUCAGAUACAAUUUGGAUCCCUUUGAAGAACAGUCAGAUGAUGACGUCUGGCAAGCACUGGAGCGUUCACAUCUAAAAGGGGUUGUUCAGCGGCAGGAGCACGGCCUCAUGUCCAAGGUAGAAGCUGCAGGGGAAAAUUUCUCAGUGGGAGAACGACAACUCAUUUGUCUCACAAGAGCAUUGCUAAGGAAUAGUAAGAUUCUUAUAUUAGAUGAAGCAACAGCAUCUGUUGAUGUAGAAACAGAUCACUUAAUCCAAGCCACCAUUAAAGAGGCUUUUGCCACUAGUACAGUUCUCACCAUUGCUCACAGACUCAACACAGUGGCCAACUAUGAUAGAAUAAUGGUGCUUGAUGCAGGGAAGGUGCGGGAGUUUGACACACCAGAGAUGCUGAUGACUACUGAGGGGUCAGUGUUCCAGGAGAUGAUGCAGGCCAUGAAUGUAUACACAGUGGCACAGAUGAAUGCACUUACCUAGUACUUCUUUCCCCCAGUAAGUGCCUUUCUGUACCAGGGAGUACGAGGAACACUAUAGGACUGUACCAUGGAGCAUGAGGUACAUUAUAGGACUGUACCAUGGAGCAUGAGGUACACUAUAGGGCUGUACCAGGGAGCAUGAGGAACACUAUAGGACUGUACCAUGGAGCAUGAGGAACACUAUAGGACUGUACCAGGGAGUAUGAGGAACACUGUAGGACUGUACCAUGGAGCAUGAGGUACACUAUAGGACUGUACCAUGGAGCAUGAGGCACACUAUAGGGCUGUACCAGGGAACAUGAGGAACACUAUAGGACUGUACCAUGGAGCAUGAGGUACACUAUAGGACUGUACCAUGGAGCAUGAGGUACACUAUAGGACUGUACCAGGGAGUAUGAGGUACACUAUAGGACUGUACCAGGGAGUAUGAGGUACACUAUAGGACUGUACCAGGGAGUAUGAGGAACACUAUAGGACUGUACCAUGGAACAUGAGGUACACUAUAGGACUGUACCAUGGAGCAUGAGGCACACUACAGGGCUGUACCAGGGAGCAUGAGGUACACUAUAGGACUGUACCAGGGAGCAUGAGGUACACUAUAGGACUGCACCAGGGAACAUGAGGUACACUAUAGGACUGUACCAUGGAGCAUGAGGUACACUAUAGGACUGUACCAGGGAACAUGAGGUACACUAUAGGACUGUACCAUGGAGCAUGAGGUACACUAUAGGACUGGACCAAGGAGCAUGAGGUACACUAUUGGGCUGUACCAGGGAGCAUGAGGUACAUAAUCGGACUGUACCAUGGAGCAUGAGGUACACUAUAGGACUGUACCAGGGAGCAUGAGGUACACUAUAGGGCUGUACCAUGGAGCAUGAGGUACACUAUAGGGCUGCACCAUGAAGCUGGAGGUACAUAAUAGGACUGUACCAUGGAGCAUGAGGUACACUAUUACUUUUACUUUUAUCCUCUUCGCCACUGAUCGGCUUGGGCGAUCGGUCACGUCUCUUUUCCUUUAUAUUCUUCACCAAAAGGUCGGCUCGCUAGCCGCCCGGGCGAUCGGUCACGUCUCUGUCACGCACUGUUGGCAAAUACUGGGCAUGCACCGGCUCCUGAAUGUACCUGAACCCGCUCCAGUGUUGGUCAAGUCUUCUCAUGAAAGAGUUCACUAUAGGACUGUACCAAGGAGCAUGAUGUACACUAUAGGACUGUACCAUGGAGCAUGAGGUACACUUUAGGACUGUACCAGGGAGCAUGAGGUACACAAGUAUAGGUGACUCGACUGUCAGGCUACAAAUAUUGUGAACGUCUUUCUAUUGAGGUAUGAAUAUUUCCAAAUACAGUGAUAUCCCCGCUAGCUGGAACAAUUGGUGCAGAGCACUUCCGGGAAUGAGAGAUUUCCUGGUAACGAGACGACUCUCUCAAAGAUGGAAAAAUAUCCUUCAUCCCC